GAUCCCUAAUACUCCCCUUUAUAUUGUUCGUCUGGUCUCAAGGCGCCUAACAUGGUCUGUUUCUCUCCUGAUAAAGGAGAAGUCUGCCUUUCUUUCGUGUCAGAUGCACAGACACACACGUGGAGAACAAACAGAUGGCACAACGAUAACAAGGAAGAAUGAGUGAGUGGAUGAGUGGAAAUCUGCCCGUCCCCCAACACUGAAGAGUCUAUUGUACAGGGUCCAGCAAAGGUUUGCUAAACCUCUAUCAAGCAGCAGAGGAGAGCAUCCUCUCCUUUGCGAUAACAGUCUGGUUUGGGAAUAUGUCUGCAGAGGAGGAGAGGCAGCUGAACAAAGUGGUGUGUACUGUACCAAAAACCACCAGGUCGUCCUCGAUGGGGUUCUCUUUCCUCCUCCCCGUGCUGUACAUACUGGCCGGUCUCUUGAUGGCCUUCUGCUUGAUGUGACCACUUCCUGGAGACUUCAGCCUCUUCUUCAUGCCGUCACAACUGGGCGACACGUCUAUGGACUUGGUGGCCUUGAUUUUAAAUGGGCUUCCUUUGAUGUGUUGGUCAUACAGCCGCAGAGACAAAUUAAAAGUCCCCUCUUUAGGAGCUGUGAAUAGAUACUCAUAAGUCCCAUUCUUGUUGUCCAGGAUCUCUCCUUCACCUUUGCUGCCGUCAGGUGAGGAGAUCUCAGCCCUGAUGACUGCGUUUCCCAUCUUGCAAAGCUCUCUGUCUUUGUCCUUUGUGGUUAUGGUGAUGGAAGUGGGCACACCAACCACACAGUGGCGCAGCCCCUCGCCUGUAGCCACGGUCUCAGAGGCCACCGCGUUGGUUGUCACGAUAGUUCCCAGGUUGUGGAUGGACUUUUUGAGUCCUUCUGUCUCCACGAUGAAGUCCAGCUGGUCGUUCUCUCCGGGCUGCAGAGGAAGCUCCUGACUGGCGAGUUCGAUGAGACGCUCACUCAUCUGCUUCUUCACCAGCAGCACCUCGGCCUCAGUCCCAUGGCUCAGUGCCUGCUCCGUGAAGUUACAGCUGCUGAUGAUGCCAUCCUGACCGUGCAGGAGGGUGUCAAGCUGGGCCUGGAGCACCUAUAAACACAAACAGCAGAGGGCAGCAGAGUCACUCUGUGAAAUUGGAUGUAGCCUCUUGGGUUUAAAGUAAAGCCAGUGUAAAAGUGCCUUAUGACCACCAGGGGCGGUCAUCUUGUAGAAAAAAAAUAUGUCUCAGUAUAUCAAACCAGAUGGGGAAGCUAUUCUAG